CUGCCUGGCAGUGACAUUGUCACGCCUUUUUGGUGAAAGUAUUUUCGAAACAUUUUAUUUUUAAUUGUCUGUCAGAAAUGCGUGCUCUUAGUGCCACAUUAGCUCAGAUCUAAGGAAAUGCUGGCCCCUAUAAGUAAGUAAUCUAUAUUACCAUAUAAUAUUUUUCCCGUGCUCCAAACCGGCGAGGCGCCCAUGCGAAUAAACACGGCGACUUGCGAAGAAUUCGGUUGCAAUUCGUUCGAGGAGCAGGCCAAAAACAAUUUAAAUGCAAAUCACGUGUUCUUCUGGCUGCAACCGAUCAAUUGGCCAGCGAUUGGGGAUUGUGGCCUGAACUUGGACCACAAAUUGAGGUGGAGAAUGCCAUUUUCCAGUGGGCAAUGAAAACUGACAUUUCAGCGAAAUGGGGACAGUGGCAGAGAAAAUAGAAAUGAUCAAAUCGCGGCGACAUGAACAAUUUCCACAUAUAUUGACGGUUCAGGAAAAUGUGUCACUCACAAAAAGUCUUGGAACAAUUGAUCAUAUCGCAUGGGCCAUUAAAAAAUGUCGACAUUGAGCGACCUGAGAUGCAUUUUCCAUGUCGUGUAAUUGAACACCUAAAACGAUUUGAAAAACAAUUUAAUGCCCAAGCAAAGUUGUUUUGACGGCAAAUAAAACGUGUUUCUAGCUCUUUA